UGCGUAGGGCGCAAGCGUUGUCCGGAAUUAUUGGGCGUAAAGAGCUCGUAGGCGGCUUGUCACGUCGGGUGUGAAAGCCCGGGGCUUAACCCCGGGUCUGCAUUCGAUACGGGCUAGCUAGAGUGUGGUAGGGGAGAUCGAAUUCCUGGUGUAGCGGUGAAAUGCGCAGAUAUCAGGAGGAACACCGGUGGCGAAGGCGGAUCUCUGGGCCAUUACUGACGCUGAGGAGCGAAAGCGUGGGGAGCGAACAGG
rnacentral:rRNA from 1 species